AGGAUAAUAGUUAAAUAUAACAGUUAAUUUGCAUUUAAAAAAUAUUGAUUUAAAUCAAUUUAUCUUA
rnacentral:tRNA from 1 species